rnacentral:rRNA from 1 species
GAACCUGCCCAGUGCUAAAUGUUAACGGCCGCAGUACCUUGACUGUGCUAAGGUAGCAUAAUCAGUUGGCUUUUAAAUGGAGUCGGGAAUGAAUGGACUAAUGGAGUGAAGCUGUCUCUUCCAUAUUAUAUUUAAUUUACUUAUUAAGUGAAAAUGCUUAAGUUGAAGAAAAAAGACGAGAAGACCCUAGGAGUUUUCACUAAAUAUUACUUAUGUAAUAUAUGUUUUUGUUGGGGCGACAUUGGAGUAGUUAUUUUUUAAACCUCCAUUAAUAUAUUUGCCGACUAUGUAUGGGAGAUUAAACUACCCUAGGGAUAACAGCGUAAUUCUUUAUGAGCUUGCGACCUCGAUGUUGGACUAGGAAUUUGGCAGGCUAGCCGCCUGUUUAUAUUGUUCUGUUCGAACUAUUUUUCC